rnacentral:rRNA from 1 species
ACGAACGCUGGCGGCGUGCUUAACACAUGCAAGUCGAACGAAAAGGCCCUGCUUGCAGGGUGCUCGAGUGGCGAACGGGUGAGUAACACGUGGGUGAUCUGCCCCUUACUUUGGGAUAAGCCUGGGAAACUGGGUCUAAUACUGGAUAGGACCAUGCUGUAGGUGGUGUGGUGGAAAGAUUAGUUUCGGUAAGGGAUGAGCUCGCGGCCUAUCAGCUUGUUGGUGGGGUAAUGGCCUACCAAGGCGUCGACGGGUAGCCGGCCUGAGAGGGUGGACGGCCACAUUGGGACUGAGAUACGGCCCAGACUCCUACGGGAGGCAGCAGUGGGGAAUAGUGCACAAUGGGCGCAAGCCUGAUGCAGCGACGCCGCGUGGGGGAUGACGGCCUUCGGGUUGUAAACUCCUUUCAGCCAUGACGAAGCCCUUGUGGUGACGGUAGUGGUAGAAGAAGCACCGGCUAACUACGUG